rnacentral:rRNA from 1 species
UACGGAGGUUGCAAGCGUUGUUCGGAUUUAUUGGGCGUAAAGCGCGUGUAGGCGGCCAGAAAAGUCCGCUGUGAAAACUCGAGGCUCAACUUCGAGCUGUCGGUGGAAACUUUCUGGCUAGAGUCCGGAAGAGGAGAAUGGAAUUCCUGGUGUAGCGGUGAAAUGCGCAGAUAUCAGGAAGAACACCCGUGGCGAAGGCGGUUCUCUGGGACGGUACUGACACUGAGGCACGAAAGCGUGGGGAGCAAACAGG